AUUGAACGCUGGCGGCAGGCCUAACACAUGCAAGUCGAGCGCGCGGCGGACGGGUGAGUAAUGUCUGGGAAACUGCCUGAUGGAGGGGGAUAACUACUGGAAACGGUAGCUAAUACCGCAUACCAUCAGAUGUGCCCAGAUGGGAUUAGCUAGUAGGUGGGGUAAUGGCGAACCUAGGCGACGAUCCCUCGCUGGUCUGAGAGGAUGACCAGCCACACUGGAACUGAGACACGGUCCAGACGCCUACGGGAGGUAGAAGGGGGGAAUAUGGCACAAUGGGCGCAAGCCUGAGGCAGCCAUGCCGCGUGUGUGAAGAAGGCCUGCGGGUUGUAAAGAACUUUCAGCGGGGAGGCGUUACCCGCAGAAGAAGCACCGGCUAACUCCGUGCCAGCAGCCGCGGUAAUUC
rnacentral:rRNA from 1 species